rnacentral:rRNA from 1 species
CCUACGGGUGGCAGCAGUAGGGAAUAUUGCUCAAUGGGGGAAACCCUGAAGCAGCGACGCCGCGUGGGUGAAGAAGCGCCUCGGCGCGUAAAGCCCUGUCAGCAGGGAAGAAAAUGACGGUACCUGAAGAAGAAGCCCCGGCUAACUACGUGCCAGCAGCCGCGGUAAUACGUAGGGGGCAAGCGUUAUCCGGAUUUACUGGGUGUAAAGGGGGCGCAGACGGCGCUGCAAGCCAGGAGGGAAAGCCCGGGGCCCAACCCCGGUACUGCUCUUGGAACUGCGUGGCUGGAGUGCAGGAGGGGCAGGCGGACUUCCUGGUGUAGCGGUGACAUGCUUAGAUAUCAGGAGGAACCCCGGUGGCGAAGGCGGCCUGCUGGACUGCAACUGACGUUGAGGCCCGAACGCGUGGGGAGCAAACAGGAUUAGAUACCCGAGUAGUC